rnacentral:rRNA from 1 species
UACGGAGGGUGCAAGCGUUGUCCGGAAUCACUGGGCGUAAAGAGCGUGUAGGCGGCUCGAUAAGUCUGCUGUGAAGGUCCAGGGCUCAACCCUGGAAGGCCGGUGGAAACUGUCGGGCUAGAGUCCGGAAGAGGCGAGUGGAAAUUCCCGGUGUAGCGGUGAAAUGCGUAGAUAUCUGGAGGAACACCGGUGGCGAAGGCGGCAUCCUGGACCAACACUGACGCUGAGGAGCGAAAAGCCAGGGGGAGCAAACGGGG